ensembl:snoRNA SNORD115 Small nucleolar RNA SNORD115
GGGUCAAUGAUGAGACCUCAAUUAUCUCGAAGAGAGAUGAUGACUUAAAAAUCAUGCUCAAUAGGAUUACGCUGAGGCCC